rnacentral:rRNA from 1 species
GAGUUUGAUCCUGGCUCAGAACGAACGCUGGCGGCAGGCCUAACACAUGCAAGUCGAACGAAGUCUUCGGACUUAGUGGCAGACGGGUGAGUAACGCGUGGGAACCUACCUGGAGGUUCGGAAUAACUCGGGGAAACUCGGGCUAAUACCGGAUACGCCCUUACGGGGAAAGAUUUAUCGCCUUUAGAUGGGCCCGCGUUGGAUUAGCUUGUUGGUGAGGUAAAAGCUCACCAAGGCGACGAUCCAUAGCUGGUCUGAGAGGAUGAUCAGCCACACUGGGACUGAGACACGGCCCAGACUCCUACGGGAGGCAGCAGUGAGGAAUAUUCGGCAAUGGGCGCAGGCCUGACCGAGCCAUGCCGCGUGAGUGAAGAAGGCCCUAGGGUUGUAAAGCUCUUUCACCGAUGAAGAUAAUGACGGUAGUCGGAGAAGAAGCCCCGGCUAACUUCGUGCCAGCAGCCGCGGUAAUACGAAGGGGGCUAGCGUUGUUCGGAAUUACUGGGCGUAAAGCGCACGUAGGCGGAUUGUUUAGUCAGGGGUGAAAUCCCGGGGGCUCAACCCCGGAACUGGCUUCUGAUACUGGGCAAUCUCGAGUUCGAGAGAGGUGAGUG